rnacentral:rRNA from 1 species
CCUACGGGAGGCAGCAGUGAGGAAUAUUGGUCAAUGGACGAGAGUCUGAACCAGCCAAGUAGCGUGAAGGAUGACUGCCCUAUGGGUUGUAAACUUCUUUUAUAUGGGAAUAAAACGUUCCACGUGUGGGAUUUUGUAUGUACCAUAUGAAUAAGGAUCGGCGAACUCCGUGCCAGCAGCCGCGGUAAUACGGAGGAUCCGAGCGUUAUCCGGAGUUAGUGGGUUUAAAGGGAGCGUAGGUGGAAUGUUAAGUCAGUUGUGAAAGUUUGCGGCUCAACCGUAAAAUUGCAGGUGAAACUGGCAAUCUUGAGGACAGUAGAGGUGGGCGGAAUUCGUGGUGUAGCAGUGAAAUGCUUAGAUAUCACGAAGAACUCCGAUUGCGAAGGCAGUUCACUGGACUGCAACUGACACUGAGGCUCGAAAGUGUGGGUAUCAAACAGGAUUAGAUACCCGGGUAGUC